rnacentral:lncRNA from 1 species
UACUGGAGCUGCUUCAGCUGUAUCCGUAGUCCUGUGUUGAAGUGCACACAUCUGAGGUCUGGGAUGUCAGAAUGACCACCCAGCUACUGUCGUGUCCCUUUUGACACCUGUCACGGUACGACACAUCAGAAGAUGCUGCAGAGAAACAGUCAAUACCACCGGACGGAAAAAGGCCAACUUAGGAAGCAGAACAAGUGAAACUUUACAAGUAAGCAACUAUAACACAUUUGUAUGCGAACGUGAGUACCCA